GACGAACGCUGGCGGCGUGCUUAACACAUGCAAGUCGAACGGAAAGGCCUUUUCGGAGGUACUCGAGUGGCGAACGGGGGAGUAACACGUGGGUGAUCUGCCCUGCACUCUGGGAUAAGCCUGGGAAACUGGGUCUAAUACCGGAUAGGACCGCACUGUAGUGUGUGUGGUGGAAAGUUUUUUCGGUGUAGGAUGAGCCCGCGGCCUAUCAGCUUGUUGGUGGGGGAAUGGCCUACCAAGGCGGCGACGGGUAGCCGGACUGAGAGGUUGGUCGGCCACAUUGGGUCUGAGGGACGGCCCCGACUCCUACGGUAGGCAGCAGUGGGGAAUCUUGCACAAUGGGCGCAAGCCUCGUGCAGCGACGCCGCGUGGGGGAUGACGGCCUUCUGGUUGUAAACUCCUUUCGCCAGGGACGAAGCGUUUUGUGACGGUACCUGGAGAAGAAGCACCGGCUAACUACGUG
rnacentral:rRNA from 1 species